ensembl:lncRNA
ACACAAACAGACAGUUAGAUUAGAAAACUAAGUGGAAUGAGCCAUGUAGAACUAUGAAAACAAAAACAGACUUGGAUGAGGAUCACACAUGGACUGGAGCAAUGACAGAGAUUCACUCCUAGCCAAGAGGCAGUAUACGAGAGAGAGAGGGAGAGAUCUUCAAAGUCGUCAUAGAUUCUCUCUCAUCAUACCUAAAAAAUUGGAAUGCAGGACGCUUGCAGGAGAGAAGGCAAGAAACCAACUGACUAAGAUCGAAUGGUACUACACUGGCCCUGACGCUCGUCGGAUGUGGCAGAGCUUGCAAACCAUUACAGACUACAAAGGGAAGCACAGUCGAGAGCUGCCCAGUGACACGAGCCUACUAGAUGACCUAAACUACUUCUAUGCUCAAUUUGAGGCAAAUGGCACUGAAACAUGCAUUAAGAUUGCCAGCUGUUCCGAAAGACUGUGUGAUCAUGCUCUCCGAAGCCAAUGUGAGUAAGACCUUUAAACAGGUCAACAUUCACAAGGCCGCAGGGCCAGACGGAUUACAAGGACGUGACCAACUGGCAAGUGUCUUCACUGACAUUUUCAAACUCUCCCUGUCACAGUCUGUAAUAUCAACAUGUUUGAAGCAGACCACCAUAGUGCCUGUGCCCAAGAACACUAAGGCAACCUGCCUAAAUGACUAUCAACCCGUAACACUCACGUCCGUAGCCACGAAGUGCUUUGAAAUGCUGGUCAUGGCUCACAUCAACACCUUUAUCCCAGAAACCUUAGACCCACUCCAAUUUGCAAACCGCACCAACAGAUCCACAAAUGAUGCAAUCUCUAUUGCACUACACACUGCCCUUUUCCACCUGGAAAAAAGAAACAUCUAUGUGAGAAUGCUAUUCAUUUACUGGAGCUCUGCGUUUAACACCAUAGUGCCCUCAAAGCUCAUCACUAAGCUAAGGACCCUGGGACUAAACACCUCCCUCUGUAACUGGAUCCGGGACUUCCUGACGGGCCACCCACAGGUUGUAAGGGUAGGUAACAACACAUCCGCCACACUGAUCCUCAACACAGGGGACCCUCAGGGGUGCGUGGUCAGUCCCCUCCUGUACUCCCUGUUCACUCAUGACUGCACGGCCAGGCACGACUCCAACACCAUCAUUAAGUUUGCCGAUGACACAACAGUGGUAGGCCUGAUCACCGACAACGACGAGACAGCCUAUGGGAGGAGGUCACAGACCUGGCCUGUGGUGCCAGGACAACAACCUCACCCUCAGUGUGAUCAAGACAAAGGAGAUGAUUGUGGACUACAGGAAAAAGAGGACGUCGCACGCACCUAUUCUCAUCAACGGGGCUGCAGUGGAGCAGGUUGAGAGCUUCAAGUUCCUUGGUGUCCACCAACAAACUAACAUGGUCCAAGCACAGCAAGACAGUUGUGAAGAGCGCAUGACAAAACCUAUUCUUGGCAUGGGUCCUCAGAUCCUCAAAAGGUUCAACAGUUGGUUGCAUCACUGCCUGGUUUUGCAACUGCUCGGCCUCUGACCGCAAGGCACCACAGAAGGUAGUGCGAACGGCCCAGUACAUCACCGAGGCCAAGCUCCCUGCCAUCCAGGACCUCUAUACCAGUUGGAGUCAGAGGAAGGCCAUAAAAAUUAUCAAUAACUCCAGCCACCCUAGUCAUAGACUGUUCUCUCUGCUACCGCACGGCAAGCGGUACAAGAGCAUCAAGUCUAGGUCCAAGAAACUUCUAAACAGUUUCUACCCCCAAGCCAUAAGACUCCUGAACACCUAAACAAAUGGCUACCCAGACUAAUUGCAUUGUCCCCCCCUCUUCUCUUCUCUUCUCUGUAUAUAGCCAUGUUAUUUUCUAUUCACUAUAUAUAGUCAUGUUAUUUUCUACUCCCUGUAUAUAGCCAUAUUAUUUUGUAUUCCCUGUAUAUAGCCAUGUUAUUUUCUACUUCCUGUAUAUAGCCAUGUUAUUUUCUAUUCCCUAUAUAUAGUCAUGUUAUUUUCUACUCCCUGUAUAUAGCCAUGUUAUUUUGUAUUCCCUGUAUAUAGCCAUGUUAUUUUCUACUUCCUGUAUAUAGCCAUGUUAUUUUCUAUUCCCUAUAUAUAGUCAUGUUAUUUUCUACUCCCUAUAUAUAGCCAUGUUAUUUUCUACUCCCUAUAUAUAGCCAUGUUGUAUUCUGCUCCCUACAUAUAGCCAUGUUAUUUUCUACUCCCUGUAUAUAGCCAUGUUAUUUCCUACUCCCUAUAUAUAGCCAUGUUAUUUUCUUCACCCUAUAUAUAGCCAUGUUAUAUUCUACUCCCUAUAUAUAGCCAUGUUAUUUUCUACUCCCUAUAUAUAGCCAUGUUAUUUCCUACUCCCUAUAUAUAGCCAUGUUAUAUUCUACUCCCUGUAUAUAGCCAUGUUAUUUUCUAUUCCCUAUAUAUAGUCAUGUUAUUUUCUACUCCCUGUAUAUAGCCAUGUUAUUUUCUACUUCCUGUAUAUAGCCAUGUUAUUUUCUAUUCCCUAUAUAUAGUCAUGUUAUUUUCUAUUCCCUAUAUAUAGCCAUGUUAUUUUCUACUCCCUUUACAUAGCCAUGUUAUUUUCUACUCCCUAUAUAUAGCCAUGUUAUUUUCUACUCCCUUUACAUAGCCAUGUUAUUUUCUAUUCCCUAUAUAUAGCCAUGUUAUUUUCUACUCCCUUUACAUAGCCAUGUUAUUUUCUACUCCCUAUAUAUAGCCAUGUUAUUUUGCAUUCCCUGUAUAUAGCCAUGUUAUUUUCUACUUCCUGUAUAUAGCCAUGUUAUUUUCUACUCCCUAUAUAUAGCCAUGUUAUUUUCUACUCCUUUUACAUAGCCAUGUUAUUUUCUAUUCCCUAUAUAUAGCCAUGUUAUUUUCUACUCCCUUUACAUAGCCAUGUUAUUUUCUACUCCCUAUAUAUAGCCAUGUUAUUUUGCAUUCCCUGUAUAUAGCCAUGUUAUUUUCUACUUCCUGUAUAUAGCCAUGUUAUUUUCUACUCCCUAUAUAUAGCCAUGUUAUUUUGCAUUCCCUGUAUAUAGCCAUGUUAUAUUCUACUUCCUGUAUAUAGCCAUGUUAUUUUCUAUUCCCUAUAUAUAGCCAUGUUAUUUGAUACUCCCUGUAUAUAGCCAUGUUAUUUUCUACUCCCUAUAUAUAGCCAUGUUAUUUUCUACUUCCUGUAUAUAGCCAUGUUAUAUUCUGCUCCCUAUAUAUAGCCAUGUUAUUUUCUACUCCCUAUAUAUAGCCAUGUUAUUUUGCAUUCCCUAUAUAUAGUCAUGUUAUUUUCUAUUCCCUAUAUAUAGUCAUGUUAUUUUAUAUUCCCUAUAUAUAGCCAUGUUAUUUUCUACUCCCUGUAUAUAGCCAUGUUAUUUUCUAUUCCCUUUGCAUAGCCAUGUUAUUUUCUACUCCCUGUAUAUAGCCAUGUUAUUUUCUACUCCUAUAUAUAGCCAUGUUAUAUUCUCCUCCCUAUAUAUAGCCAUGUUAUUUUCUACUCCCUGUAUAUAGCCAUGUUAUUUCCUACUCCCUAUAUAUAGCCAUGUUAUUUUCUUCACCCUAUAUAUAGCCAUGUUAUAUUCUACUCCCUAUAUAUAGCCAUGUUAUUUUCUACUCCCUAUAUAUAGCCAUGUUAUUUCCUACUCCCUAUAUAUAGCCAUGUUAUUGUCUACUCCCUGUAUAUAGCCAUGUUAUUUCCUACUCCCUAUAUAUAGCCAUGUUAUUUUCUUCACCCUAUAUAUAGCCAUGUUAUUUUCUUCACCCUAUAUAUAGCCAUGUUAUUUUCUACUCCCUAUAUAUAGCCAUGUUAUUUUCUAUUCCCUAUAUAUAGCCAUGUUAUUUUCUACUCCCUUUACAUAGCCAUGUUAUUUUCUACUCCCUAUAUAUAGCCAUGUUAUUUUCUACUCCCUUUACAUAGCCAUGUUAUUUUCUAUUCCCUAUAUAUAGCCAUGUUAUUUUCUACUCCCUUUACAUAGCCAUGUUAUUUUCUACUCCCUAUAUAUAGCCAUGUUAUUUUGCAUUCCCUGUAUAUAGCCAUGUUAUUUUCUACUUCCUGUAUAUAGCCAUGUUAUUUUCUAUUCCCUAUAUAUAGCCAUGUUAUUUUCUACUCCCUGUAUAUAGCCAUGUUAUUUUCUACUCCCUAUAUAUAGCCAUGUUAUUUUCUACUUCCUGUAUAUAUCCAUGUUAUAUUCUGCUCCCUAUAUAUAGCCAUGUUAUUUUCUACUCCCUAUAUAUAGCCAUGUUAUUUUGCAUUCCCUAUAUAUAGCCACGUUAUUUUCUACUCCCUACAUAUAGCCAUGUUAUAUUCUGCUCCCUAUAUAUAGCCAUGUUAUUUUCUACUUCCUGUAUAUAGCCAUGCUAUUUUCUAUUCCCUAUAUAUAGUCAUGUUAUUUUCUAUUCCCUAUAUAUAGUCAUGUUAUUUUAUAUUCCCUAUAUAUAGCCAUGUUAUUUUCUACUCCCUGUAUAUAGCCAUGUUAUUUUCUAAUCCCUGUAUAUAGCCAUGUUAUUUUCUAUUCCCUUUACAUAGCCAUGUUAUUUUCUACUCCCUGUAUAUAGCCAUGUUAUUUUCUACUCCCUGUAUAUAGCCAUGUUAUUUCCUACUCCCUAUAUAUAGCCAUGUUGUUUUCUUCACCCUAUAUAUAGCCAUGUUAUAUUCUAUUCCCUUUACAUAGCCAUGUUAUUUUCUACUCCCUGUAUAUAGCCAUGUUAUUUUCUACUCCCUGUAUAUAGCCAUGUUAUUUCCUACUCCCUAUAUAUAGCCAUGUUGUUUUCUAUUCCCUUUGCAUAGCCAUGUUAUUUUCUACUCCCUGUAUAUAGCCAUGUUAUUUUCUCCUCCCUAUAUAUAGCCAUGUUAUUUUCUAAUCCCUGUAUAUAGCCAUGUUAUUUUCUAUUCCCUUUACAUAGCCAUGUUAUUUUCUACUCCCUGUAUAUAGCCAUGUUAUUUUCUACUCCCUGUAUAUAGCCAUGUUAUUUCCUACUCCCUAUAUAUAGCCAUGUUGUUUUCUUCACCCUAUAUAUAGCCAUGUUAUAUUCUACUCCCUAUAUAUAGCCAUGUUAUUUUCUACUCCCUAUAUAUAGCCAUGUUAUUUCCUACUCCCUAUAUAUAGCCAUGUUAUUUUCUAUUCCCUAUAUAUAGCCAUGUUAUUUUCUACUCCCUUUACAUAGCCAUGUUAUUUUCUACUCCCUAUAUAUAGCCAUGUUAUUUUCUACUCCCUUUACAUAGCCAUGUUAUUUUCUAUUCCCUAUUUAUAGCCAUGUUAUUUUCUACUCCCUAUACAUAGCCAUGUUAUUUUCUAUUCCCUAUAUAUAGCCAUGUUAUUUUCUAUUCCCUUUGCAUAGCCAUGUUAUUUUGUAUUCCCUGUAUAUAGCCAUGUUAUUUUCUACUUCCUGUAUAUAGCCAUGUUAUUUUCUAUUCCCUAUAUAUAGUCAUGUUAUUUUCUACUCUCUAUAUAUAGCCAUGUUGUAUUCUGCUCUCUACAUAUAGCCAUGUUAUUUUCUACUCCCUGUAUAUAGCCAUGUUAUUUCCUACUCCCUAUAUAUUGCCAUGUUAUUUUCUUCACCCUAUAUAUAGCCAUGUUAUAUUCUACUCCCUAUAUAUAGCCAUGUUAUUUUCUACUCCCUAUAUAUAGCCAUGUUAUUUUCUACUCCCUAUAUAUAGCCAUGUUAUAUUCUACUCCCUGUAUAUAGCCAUGUUAUUUUCUAUUCCCUAUAUAUAGUCAUGUUAUUUUCUACUCCCUGUAUAUAGCCAUGUUAUUUUCUACUUCCUGUAUAUAGCCAUGUUAUUUUCUAUUCCCUAUAUAUAGUCAUGUUAUUUUCUACUCCCUGUAUAUAGCCAUGUUAUUUUCUACUCCCUAUAUAUAGCCAUGUUAUUUUCUACUUCCUGUAUAUAGCCAUGUUAUAUUCUGCUCCCUAUAUAUAGCCAUGUUAUUUUCUACUCCCUAUAUAUAGCCAUGUUAUUUUGCAUUCCCUAUAUAUAGCCAUGUUAUUUUCUACUCCCUAUAUAUAGCCAUGUUAUAUUCUGCUCCCUAUAUAUAGCCAUGUUAUUUUCUACUCCCUGUAUAUAGCCAUGUUAUUUUCUAUUCCCUAUAUAUAGUCAUGUUAUUUUCUAUUCCCUAUAUAUAGUCAUGUUAUUUUAUAUUCCCUAUAUAUAGCCAUGUUAUUUUCUACUCCCUGUAUAUAGCCAUGUUAUUUUCUAUUCCCUUUCCAUAGCCAUGUUAUUUUCUACUCCCUGUAUAUAGCCAUGUUAUUUUCUACUCCCUAUAUAUAGCCAUGUUAUUUUCUACUCCCUGUAUAUAGCCAUGUUAUUUUCUAUUCCCUUUACAUAGCCAUGUUAUUUUCUACUCCCUGUAUAUAGCCAUGUUAUUUUCUACUCCCUGUAUAUAGCCAUGUUAUUUCCUACUCCCUAUAUAUAGCCAUGUUAUUUUCUAUUCCCUUUACAUAGCCAUGUUAUUUUCUAUUCCCUUUGCAUAGCCAUGUUAUUUUCUACUCCCUGUAUAUAGCCAUGUUAUUUUCUCCUCCCUAUAUAUAGCCAUGUUAUUUUCUAAUCCCUGUAUAUAGCCAUGUUAUUUUCUAUUCCCUUUACAUAGCCAUGUUAUUUUCUACUCCCUGUAUAUAGCCAUGUUAUUUUCUACUCCCUGUAUAUAGCCAUGUUAUUUCCUACUCCCUAUAUAUAGCC